rnacentral:ncRNA from 4 species
UACGUAGGGUGCGAGCGUUGUCCGGAUUUAUUGGGCGUAAAGGGCUCGUAGGUGGUUGAUCGCGUCGGAAGUGUAAUCUUGGGGCUUAACCCUGAGCGUGCUUUCGAUACGGGUUGACUUGAGGAAGGUAGGGGAGAAUGGAAUUCCUGGUGGAGCGGUGGAAUGCGCAGAUAUCAGGAGGAACACCAGUGGCGAAGGCGGUUCUCUGGGCCUUUCCUGACGCUGAGGAGCGAAAGCGUGGGGAGCGAACAGG